rnacentral:rRNA from 1 species
CAGCAGCCGCGGUAAUACGAAGGGUGCAAGCGUUAAUCGGAAUUACUGGGCGUAAAGCGUGCGUAGGCGGUGAGUUAAGUCUGCUGUGAAAUCCCCGGGCUCAACCUGGGAAUGGCAGUGGAUACUGGCUCGCUAGAGUGUGUCAGAGGAUGGUGGAAUUCCCGGUGUAGCGGUGAAAUGCGUAGAGAUCGGGAGGAACAUCAGUGGCGAAGGCGGCCAUCUGGGACAACACUGACGCUGAGGCACGAAAGCGUGGGGAGCAAACAGGAUUAGAGACCCCCGUAGUCCCUGUCUCUUAUAA